UACGGGGGGUGCGAGCGUUGUCCGGAAUCACUGGGCGUAAAGGGCGCGUAGGCGGCGCGGGGAGUCAACGGUGAAAGCUCGGCGCUCAACGCCGAGUCGGCCGUCGAUACUCCCGUGCUUGAGCACUGUAGAGGCAGGUGGAAUUCCGGGUGUAGCGGUGGAAUGCGUAGAGAUCCGGAAGAACACCGGUGGCGAAGGCGGCCCGCUGGGCAGUGGCUGACGCUGAGGCGCGACAGCGUGGGGAGCAAACAGG
rnacentral:rRNA from 1 species